UAGUAUAUGGGUAUGCAGGUACGCGGCUAUGGGUAUUGCCUUCCCAUACCCAUAUCUGGCUUAUCUGAUGGUACGAGUUUUCUCAUUUAUAACACACGGGUAUUUAUUUUUCCCAAACCUUUACCCUAAUAGGGUUAUUACCCGUCCGUUUCGCGGGUUGUCGGUACCCAUUGUCUGUUGAACUUAAAAUGGCCAGGUGCCUUCGACUUGCCGAACUGGGCCACGGUGUUGCCAUCUUGCAUGUUGCAUUCUAGCCCAUUUCCUUGAGGCGCUUCUUCCUCCUAAGCUGGCAGACACCCCUCGCGACGGCUGCGAUGUGGUGGCAAUGGGACGCUGCCGUACACGUCCCUCCUCCACCACCCAGUGCGGAGCUGCUUCCACCACCGUGACGCGGUACUGCGAGCUUCUUCGGCGGCACUGACUAGAGGUAGUUUUCAUUUCCCUUUUUCACCCACCGUUGCAAGCCUCUUCUUCAAGUGAUCCCAUUUCCACAUGUUUACUAGUUGUCAAUGCUAAUGGUUCAACUUUCUAUUUCACUGGUGAAGUUUGAAUUGGGUAAGGUGGUCGAGAUGGGUAUUUUUACCCACGGGAAUUACCUGCACCCUGCCAGGUACGCGUAUGAGAACAGUUUGAAACCCAAGGUGCGGGUGUGGGUACGGGUAUGCGUAUGAGAACAGUUUGAAAGCCAAGGUGCGGGUACGGAUUUGGGUAAAAAUAUCGAGACGGGAAUGGGUUUGGGCCACCAUUACCCGCACCCGAACCCGGCGUUUGCCAUGUGGACAAGUGGUCAAUGGAAUCAUUGUGUCGGUCCAUUGAACAUUCAUUGCAGAAAUGAAGAUGAUUGAGAAGCCGAAAGGGUAGUUGGAUGAACAAUAGAUGCUCUGCAUACAGACCCCGGGCCAGGCAAGACUAUUUCAUGGACCAUGGGGUUACAACGUUAGCAGGCAAUUGUAAAGGAUGUCACCAAAAUCUCUUGUGUUUUGAUGCUCACCUACCCCGGAUAUUAUUGGCAGGAUCUGUCAUACAUCACAUCACAUGCUGUGGAAUCUCAUCUACCAUGGCUAGAUACUGUGGCUGGACCGGUCUCUCUAACCUACCGUCAUUAGUGUGCGGACCCCAGGCUGAGUGUCAAUGUCAAGUGUACUCCGUUUGGUCUAGAUCUAAAUUGGUAGCCUUUAAAGGCAGAUCGACAGUCUGAUAGUCUUCCUGCGCCUUGAUAUUCUACUUGAACAGUACAUGUUUUCUGAGCAGCUAUGAGUCGUCGAGAAAUGGCUAUCUUACGUGAUGAACUGUAGAACAAGCUACAAGAUCCAAAAGCAACACCGAUGUUUCUUCCUCUAGAAUUUGAAAGGCAUCACAUGUGAUUUUUCCACUGAAUCGGACCUUGGCAGAGGUGGAUAUGGAGUGGUUUACAAGAUGAAUCUCUGGACCUUGAGUGGAAUAUGAGAUACGAGAUAAUCAAGGCAAUUUGCAGUGGUUUGUGUUUCCUUCAGGAAGAAUACCGUAUCCUUCAUCUGGACCUUAAGCCAGAAAAUAUAUUGAUGGACUUUAUGAUGAUGCUGAAAAUCGCGGAUUUUGGUUUGUCGAGUCUCUUUGGUGUGCAGCAAAUGCGAAUCUUCACUGAUAAUCCUGCAGGAAACAUGAAUAUAUGGCACCAGAAUACUUACUUCAAGGUGUAAUCUCAAGCAAGGCAGAUAUCUUCAGUCUGGGUGUUAUAAUCACAGAGAUUAUCACAGGUUGUACAGCCCCCACAGUACUGCUACAUCUUGUCAGCAUUUCAUAGAGAAUCUAAGAUGAACUAUUCUAACCUUUGCAUCUAUAUCAUCAUUUUAGCUUUACCGUUGCAAACUUGUAGGUAUUUAGAAGUUGGAGGAACAAAUUCAAAUCAACAUCGAAGUAUAUAUCAAUGGAAAAAUAUAGCCAACAAGUAGAACUAUGCAUCGUCAUAGCCAUAGCAUGUGUGGACCCUGCUAUGGAGAAAAGACCUACAGCAAAGGAUAUAAUCCAAGUGCUUAGUGCAGCAGACUGGGUAUGGGUGUUGGCCUGCUGCGUACCCGUCUGGGUGUUGGCAAAAAAGGAAAGAAAAGAAAAAGAGGAUGAAAACAAAAAAAGGCAGAAAAGAAGAACAAAAAAGGCAAAAAAAAAACAUA